UGAAAAGAAACUUUGGAGAGAGAGUUAAAAGCACGUGAAGCCGUUGAAAGGGAAACGCGCUCGGCUAGCAAUGUGCCAUCACGGUUCAGCCGUUUUGGGCGGCGCGGCAGUGGCUACGGAUCCGAAUGGACCGGAGUCGUUGUUAGCUGUCGUCCGAGACGCGGUGCACUCUUUGGUGGUACGCGUCAGCGUCGGUUGGCGGUGGGUGAUAAGGCCUGUCGGAAGGUGACUCCCUCCGGGGAGUGUUAAGCCGUCAGUGCUGGGCCCACCAGCGACCGAGGAGAGAGAGUAUCGUCGCAGCGCAUGCCGCAAGGCUAGCUGCCCGCCGUCCGGUUGGUUCCAUCGGUGGAGGACUGCACGCAGUGCUCUGUUGAGCGGGGCUGCCUGGCGGUGGAGCGGUAUAAAUGCGCUUAGGACGCUGGCGUCCAAAUGGCCGUGCGCGACCCGUCUUGAAAACACGGA
rnacentral:rRNA from 1 species